AUUUCAACACCUGAGGCAUCACUAUUCUGCUUCAAUUGAUGAAGAAAUAAUCUCAGUGAUUUUGCUCUGCAGUAGCUUUUCAUCUCGGGUGCAGGAGUUGCAGGUUUGACACAAUGAGAUUUUUAAUCUCAUUGUCUGUGUGUUGGCUGUUGUUGUUGUAUGAUGGAAUAACCAUUGGAGUGGCAG